rnacentral:rRNA from 1 species
CAACCUACGGGACGCAGCAGUGGGGAAUAUUGCACAAUGGGGGGAACCCUGAUGCAGCGACGCCGCGUGGGUGAAGGAGUAUUGCGGUAUGUAAAGCUCUAUCAGCAGGGAAGAACAAUGACGGUACCUGACUAAGAAGCACCGGCUAAAUACGUGCCAGCAGCCGCGGUAAUACGUAUGGUGCAAGCGUUAUCCGGAUUUACUGGGUGUAAAGGGAGCGCAGGCGGCGCGUUAAGCCUGGUGUGAAGGCCCGCGGCC